UACGUAGGAUGCAAGCGUUAUCCGGAUUCAUUGGGUUUAAAGGGUGCGUAGGUGGAAUUGUAAGUCAAAGGUGAAAGCCUAUAGCCUAACUAUAGAAGUGCCUUUGAUACUGCAGUUCUUGAGUACAGUUGAGGUGGAUGGAAUGUGUAAUGUAGCGGUGAAAUGCUUAGAUAUUACACAGAACACCAAUUGCGAAGGCAGUUCACUAAUCUGUUACUGACACUGAGGCACGAAAGCGUGGGGAUCAAACAGG
rnacentral:rRNA from 1 species